CCGAUUAUUUUUUGCAGAACCUUUUAUUUUCAGCCUUAGAUCAGCUCUUGAGAUUUGAGUCUCAACACUUCUUACCUUUCUCAUCCCCUCCCUCUUCCUUCUCUUGUUCUUUCGUUGCUGUGCAGGUCUUCCUUCUCCAGCUUCAACUUCUUCAGUCGCCAUUGGCGGCCUGCCAUCACUACAAGCUAACUACCGACCCAACUAGCUACUGAUCCUGGAAGCUUUAACAGCAGGGUCGCCCGUUCAAAAAAUUGGGCAAUACUAGAAACAGUUGCCCGGGUUAAGUCAAAUAAAAACGAGUCGAAAGAGGAAAACGUAAAUAGGUCGUUUCAGCUAAAUGAUAUUUUGGAUAAUGAUAAUGGAGUGGAAGAAACCCCGACACUGGUAAAUCGCAAAGGUAAGAUUGCUUCAUAACUACUGCAGGUAUCUGUCACUAUGGUUACAAGUGAAUUUACUAUUUCAUUUUCGACAAUGUCUUUAUAAUAUCAAAUUUUUAAUCAACAUAUCCAAUGUUGCAGCUGGACGUGAGGUAAAUUUACGUCUUCGACCUGUUCUUAUUGUAAUCUAGGAUAGGCUAUUCAAUGGGAGGUUAUACUCCUAACUGAUGAUGACAUCUCUUAUAGGUUCCAACUGAAAGCACCAGCCAUUUUCAAUUUCGGGAUUUUCACCGUCUGGUAAUAAUCAAAUUGUGAUUUGGCUGUAGGAAGUUAAUAUGCUAUGUUCUUGACUUCCCAUAGUUAAAUCAUGGCAAAGAGAAGUGGUAUGCACCCUUCAAUGGUUUCCUAAGCUUCUAGUCUCAUUGAGCAAUUGUCAAUAUUGAAGAUGUUGAUGUUACUGAUAAUAAGAUAAAGGUUGUUGAUGUAGCAAAGCUACCUGUACAAACUGUUUCUUAUGGAAAAAAGAGCUAAAAGAGGUGUGGGAAGCAGAUUCUCCUCUGCGAAUUUGAAGAAAUGCAGCUAUUUACUAAGCUUAUAGUUAGAUGAAGGUGGAGAUGGAGUUAUGACGGAAAACCUAUAAUAAUUGAGACCAUACUUCUGUUAGUAGCAGAGAAGUUGUCUUUAGUUAAAUGGACUUGCCUAUGGGAAUAUUAGUCAGGUUUUUUUGUUUAUGUUUUUUGGAUGAAAACCGUACACGUUAUUUGCUCAUGUAAUUAGGUGCUUGUGGUUUAUCUUUUUUUUUAUUUACAAAUAAAAUUAGACUUAAUUGUUGUUUCUUCU